rnacentral:piRNA from 1 species
GUGAGGCGACUGCGGGCAGGUAA